GUGAGUCAUCGAAUCUUUGAACGCACAUUGCGCCCUUUGGUAUUCCGAAGGGCAUGCCUGUUCGAGCGUCAUUAUCAACCCUCAAGCCCUCGGCUUGGUGUUGGGACGGCCGGUCUCCGCCCGCGGAGACCCCCCCCAAAGUGAACGACGGCGGCCUGUUAACCCCCGGUACAUGGAGCUUGGUCACGAGCACGUAUCGGUCUUUAAGUGGUGAAUAGGCCCUCGGUCUCCUCCCCCUCGGGGAACUCUUCAAGGUUGACCUCGGAUCAGGUAGGGAUACCCGCUGAACUUAAGCAUAUCAAUAAGCGGAGGA
rnacentral:misc_RNA from 1 species